GCCUGGGAGGCUUAGUCGGUUAAGCGUCUGGCUUUGGCUCAGGUCAUGAUCUCGGGUUUGUGGGUUCGAGCCCUGCACCGGGCU
rnacentral:tRNA from 1 species